UCCACAGAGUGAAGAAGAGUAUCCCUUGCCCUAUUUUCUUCACGCAGAAACCACCUUUAUCCAUUUCCUCACAGGAACCCUAAGAUAUUUUUCUUCCAAAUUUACCCAAGAAAACAAUGGACCUUGCUUCAAAGCUCCAAGUAAUCGACCUUCGUUCCACUUUCCUCACUGGCAGAGCCAACCUUCUUCGCCCUCAUGGUGUUAUUCUCCCAGUAACCUCUAAUACCUCUGUGAAAACCACGAGAUGUAGGAGAAAAAGCCUUAGAAUUUCAUCAAAAUUGCAAGCAGUAGCUGUUGAAACAGCCGAAACAGAUGUAAAACAAGACGAUAU
rnacentral:lncRNA from 1 species